rnacentral:lncRNA from 1 species
GUUGGACUUCACAUUCAUUCAGUUAUGGGUUAAGAAAUGUUCUUUUAACGUCGUCGUAAAUUUCUCCAAAUAUUUCCUAUAAGUAUUACUUUUUUAUCAGUGUCGCUCAAAUAUUUUACUUCUUUCCUUUGCGAUCCAGUUCUUGUUUUGCCGACUACGAAAACGAUUUGCUGAAAAUAUUGAUUACCCCUGUGCAUCCAACAUGCAGAUACUUACAGAUUAUUUGUUUAUGAAUUCUAGAAAUUUAGAUACAGAUUAUUUAUUUAUGAAUUCUUGUUUUAUGCUGAUACCCAAAGUACUGUCUCGCUG